UUAAGUGGUCAUUGUAAAAUUCUCACAUAUGGUACUUUCUGCUCAGAAUCUUCUAAAACGUUUUUGAGUUCUGGCUACAGCCCUGCCCACCCUCCCCAGGAUUCAUAUAGGCUGUGGAAGGGGCUAUAGCCUCAGUUUCUUUGCUGGGGAGGAUGGAUGGGGAUAUGUGAAUUUCAUUGAUGACCAAUCAAAGAAACACAGUUACAGGUAAGCAACCAUUCCUUCUUCUUCUUGGUCUUCAUGAAAACCACAUAUAUGAUAGACUAGCAAGCUACUUACCAGGGUAAGUGGGUGUCAUGCCACUGAGGAGAAAAAGAUUGCUCUGCUGAAUGCUGCAUCCUUCCAUGAAGUAGCAUCAACUUUAUAGUGAGUGACAAAAGUCAGCAGAGUCGACCAAAUGGCCACCUAGCAGACAUUCUGCAGUGGAACACCACUCAUGAAAGUGAUCGAGGCAGCCACAGCCCUGGUGUAAAAGCCUCUGACAUGUGAAGACAACUGCUGACCCUAGGUUGGUAGGCAAGUCAGAUGGCUGACAGAAUCCAGGAGGACAGCUGCUGCAGGGGUACCGGAGGCCACAAGUGUCCUUCCUAUAUUUCAGGAAGAGUCUGAGAGAUUUUCUAUAUUGUGCCAUCCUAUGAACAUAAAAAGCAAGGGCUCACCUUACACCCAAAGAUGUGCCAGGGUUUGAAACAAGGCUAGCAGAAUGAUAUCCUGAGACAUAUGGAAGUUAGAUGCAACCUUGGGCAGAAAAACGAUGUCUGUAAGCAGUACUACUUUGUCCUUAUGGAAGCGAAGAUAUGGUGUCUCUACUCAUAAAGCACACAACUAGCUGGCCCUCCUAGCCAAAGUAAUUGCCACCAAAAAGACCAUCUUCCAAGACAUGUAGGAGAAAUCAACUGAUGCCAUAGUCUCAAAGGGAGGCCUAAUGAGAGCCCUGAGGACAAGGUCAAGGCUCCAUGCUGAGGAUGCAGAUUCUUGUUUCUCCUAAGGAAGACUUGGACUAAUGAAUCAGUGGAGCAGGAUGGUAGUCCCUGCUUUUUUCUGUAUAAGGAAAUUGCAGGGAGAUAGCACCUUAGAGAUGAGGCGAGUCCUUUGUUCGACAGUGAGACAAGGCUGUCCAAACAUGAGAUGUCAAUGCUGUGAAGAUGUCAAUAACUCUUUUAUCAAGGUAAGUAACAAAACACUUCCACUUUGACGCAUAGGAGCACUUGGUGGAGGGUUUAUGCGCUGCAUCCAAGAUGGCUUUCACCGGACCAGACAAUGAGGUGAUCAGACUCUCCACACAGUGAGAUGCAGGAGCUGCACAUUCGGGUGGAGAAUCUGCCUUCCUGCUGACAUAAGCGGGUCCCAGCCUGUUGCGGAGGGGAAUGAGUUACCCUCCAGAUAGAUUUAGCAGUGUGGCAAAUCGUGGCUGCUGAGGUCAUGGUUUGCCACAUAGGGUGAGUAGUAUACAGUCGGCCUUGUCCACCUGUAUCUUGGCAAUUACUCAAUUCAGGAGGGGAAAUGGAGGAGAUGUAUAGAGAAGCUGUCAAUACCAGAUGUGAAAUUUCCCAUACUUCCAUGAGCAGAUCUUUUGCUGCUCUAAGAAAAGAUAUGAAAGAUCCCAUUAAAAAGCCUUGCAUGGCACUGUGCUGCAACUGUCUGAAAACCUGAAACAAUUUUGUUCAGCACAGAUGUUUGCAGAAUUAAAAACUAACAUUGCUUUUAAAUAACAUAUGUUCAAAUUGCUAUUUUGGGGAUGCUUUGUCUUGAAAGGUGGUGUGUAAAUAUUUUAACAACAUAUAAUUACAUGAAAUAAAUGCUGGCCUAGCUGGCUUACUUGUGAUCUCAUAAGGGGACAUGCCCUGUUUCCAAAUAUCACUCUGCUGCAGAAAUUUUCAGUAGAAAUCUUCCAUGGGAUAAGCUGUUUAGUUAGGAGGCUUUACAUGCAUACAAAUCCAUACAAGCAAACACAUCAUUUUUAUUUAUAUAGAUUUGAUGAACAGGUUUUAACACAGCCUUUACUACCUUGGUGUGGUAGCACUGAAUGUGGGGUCGGGGGGGUGGGUAUGGCUGCUUCUCGUUGGGCUUGGCUAUGUUAGUAAAAGGUAAAGGUUUUUCCUUGACAUUAAGUCUAGUCAUGUCCGACUCUGUGGGUUGGUGCUUAUUUCCAUUUCUAAGAUAAAGAGCCGACAUUGUACGUAAACACCUCCAAGGUUGUGUGGCCAGCAUGACUGCAUGUAGUGCCGUUACCUUCCCACCGGAGCAGUACCUAUUGGUCUACACACAUUUGCAUAUUUUUUAACCACUAUUUAUUUAUUUAUUUAUUUAUUACAUGCAUAUAUACCCCGCCCUUCUCCCCGAGGGGACUCAGAGCGACUUACAUUCUGCCACGAGGGCCAGCAACAAGUAUACUAUAAAACAAAACAAUUAAAACAUGAUAAAAAGUAUACAAAAAUUAAAACGCUGCAAGGCAGCGAUAUUGCACCAUCCUCAGUCAUUUAAUACUGCUACAAUUACAGAUUUGUGACCCGAUUACAUCAGCCAAUGAGCUUAUUCGCUGAAUGCCUGGGCGCAGAGCCAAGUUUUUAGUUUUGGCAGGAGCUGGGGCUAACAGUGGGAACUCACCCCACUCCCUGGAUUCGAAUUUACCAUGUUGGUCAUUCUUUUUUAGACAUGUUCCAGCCUUUCAAUAUCAUUCUUGAAUUGUGGUUCCCAGAAUUUGACACAAUAUUCCAAAUGAGGUCUGACCAAAGCAGAAUAGAAUGAGACCACGACUUCCCUCAGUCUAGACACUACACUGCUCUUGAUGUAACCUGGAAUCACAUUGGCUGUUUUUAGCUGCUGCAUCACAUUGUUGACUCAUGCUCAGCAUGUGGAUGUUGUGACUCAGCCUUUGCCUUUGUGUGACUCUGAUGUGCCUUUGUGUGGCUCUGAAGAGGAUUCUGGGUUAUAUGUGCAUAAUGAUGGGAUUCAGGAUGAAUUUGAAGAUGACUCUGAUGCUGGGAAUUAUAGGAGAGUUCCAGCUGUGGGAAAUGAAGAGCAGGGAGUUGUUCCCAUGGGAAUAAAUGUUGAUGUUGUUUCUAAUGAGGAAUUUCAGGUGCAGGAAGCAAAAAGGGAGGAUAGCGCUUUGCCUCCACCUGAUAAUAGUAACGAGCUCAGUGGCCUUGACUUUGAGAAUCACGAUCGGGCUACAAGACUGGAAUUUAGAGGGUUGCAGAGAAGUCUUCGCAUAGCUAACAAACAAGAGGUCAAAGGGCAAAGGAAUGCCUUUAUGUCAUGCUUUUAAAACAGUCUGCUGGUAGAGAGAUCUCUGUCAAUGCAACUCCAUCACUUGAUCUAAAAGCAAGUCUGCUUUCCUGUGCCAAGUUUGCUUUCCUGUAAUAUCUCGUGGAUAUAUUCUGUUUGCUGGGACUUUUGGCUUCUAUGAAAAGGACCUUGGUUUUAUGCUUUAUGUUUCUAUGGACUUAUUGCUUACAGCCUUGUUUUGUACCUAUCUUUUGGAACUGAAAUUUUACCCUUUUAUGAACUAUCUUUUGCCUAUUUUUUUAAAAUAAACUACAAAAGACUACUUCCUUUGUGUGGCUUGGUGUCUUUAGCAAGGUGAAGCUAACCUGAGGUGUGACAGUGGGCUACCAAAAUUCCUAGGUCUCUUCCAUAUGUCCUGUUGUCAAGCCAGAACCUACCUAUUAUUUAUCUGUGUAUUUUCUUUUGUCUGCCUAAGUAUAGUAUUUAUAUUUCUUAAUACUGAAAUUCAUUUUUAGAUGAGCUCCCCAGUCUGUUAAGGUCAUUUUGAAUUCUGAUCUUGUUCUCUAUUCUCUUAACUUGAUGUCAUCUGUACAUUUGGCAAGCAUGUCCAUUGUCCAAGUCAUUUAAUAUCCAAAAAUAUCCCUGCCAACUUGUAUGAGGUGCAACCCAUUCCUUGCCAAAAGCCCAACUUCAUUAAACCUCAAAACAAGAAGCCAAAUUGUUCACAGCAGCAGCCAUUUUUUGUUCAUUUUUCUUUCUUUCAGGUCAAUGUCCUUCAAUUGGGAGAAGAGACAACAUGACAACUUGUGGAUCAAUGUGCUUCAGCUUCCUGCCCAGAACCUCACAAUCCCACAUGAAAUCCUGAAAGCUGUGCCUUGCCAUGCCACUAGUUCCCGCCUGGACCAAAAGAAAGGGCAGGGAGUCCCCUACCACCACCAUAUGUUGGAGGGCUGGCAGAGGCCAUUCUAUUGCUGAAUCUUCCAGGGUCACCUGCAAAUUCCCUGAGGACCAACAUUGUUGCCCUUGUUCCUGUUCCUUGUCAUCACUGACAACAUAUCAAAGCUAUUGCAGGUGAUCUGAAGAAUUCCCUCACUAAUCCUAUUAAGUAGACUUAAGUACGCACCAACUCCCCGUUUAAAUGCCAUACAAGAUGCCUGUUGACUUUGCCUGUUAGAUACAUUCAUGAUCUUUCCUUCUUGCCUUUUUUCUUUUUCAUUCCCUAGGUCUAUGAAAGUCCACCUGAAGCUGACAAGCAUCUUUAGCUGAUAGUUUCUCUGAGGGUGCUAACAGAAUGGAUGGAGAGGCAGGGGUUACAAGGGCAUUCUAAUUUUAAAUGUCCUCUUAUUCCUUAAGGAUUUUUAUUUCACCUGCUUUCAGGCAGGGAAGGGAAGGGACAUCUUGAUUUGCACAAUACAGUGGAAUUAGUAUAAGCUAGGAAACCUACGAGAAAUUUACAUAACAGACUAUAUUGCUUCUCCUCUAGCUUUUUGAUUACAAUGAGUAAAUAUUAGACAGGGGUCAUAAAUUCUCAACCAGUACUAAACACACAUUUACCAUAUUUACCUGUUAAACAACAAGUGGCCUGAAGCAGACAAGUUAUUCGUUUUAUUUACACAAGCAGCUGACUAUACAUAGUACAUUCAAACUGCAGGAAUAAUAGAUCAUUUUAACUCUUGCAAUACCACAUUUAUCUGAUUACCAAAUGUACUGUACAUUGUACAAAUAACACGCUGCUUCUUCUUGAAAAGAAAGAGAAAUCAACAUUGGAUUCUUGAGCUUCAUUUUGGCUUGCUCACAGUUUCAGACCUUUAAACUAACUCAUUGACAGGGGUUUUCUAGUUAUUUCAUCCUUCUACCUCCACUUUCUUCCUGCCUCCACAAGGAAGAUUUUGGCAUCAGAGGCCCCAUCUACACUGAGCAUUUAAUACGGUUCAAAGCUAGCUUCAAUCUAUGGUGGACAGAAAACAAACUUCUACAAAAGCACAUGAAAGAAAGCCCUUAAUGUGCAUUGGUGUUCUGUGCUUUGUGUAAUCACUGCUCAGACCUCAAAUUGGUUUCAGGAUUUCUUAUGUAAUAAUCAUCUGCACAGUACCAGUUUAAAAGUGUAUUAAAUGGUCAGUGUAGUUGGGGGCUGAGUGUGGUUUCACAGGCUUGAUUUUGAUUUCAAAUAUCUGCCUGGGCUAGACUUCCCACCUUGUUCUUUGUCUAGCUGGGAGGGUUUUUUUAAAUAGUAGAAUUGUCAUUGAGAAGAUAGUGAAAGAAGAAUUGAAGAAGCACAUUAACUUUGGGGUUGGUUGCACAGUAAGCAAAACAAUAAACCUUGAGCAGUGAAGAGAUGCAAUUCUCCUCUAGUCAAUUCUACUACAGCAUGUGUGGCUGUUUACAGCAGGCAGUAUAAAAGGCAGCUGACUUCAGAAUCGCCCACUUUGUGUGUGGACUUCAAAACAGAGAGAAAAUAAACAAAGAAGACAAGCCUGGCUCACUAGUUACACUUAGCAUAUUUUAAAAACAUAGACUUUUAAAAAUGAAUCAUCAAAAGAUAAAUAGUAGAAAAAGAAAUCUUGUAAUUUAUUUAUUAAUUGGAUUUAUGUUCUGAUUUUCACCGAAGAUAUUUUUGUUUUGUUUUUUCAUGUCAGGAGCAACUUGAAAAACUGCAAGUUGCUUCUGGUGUAGGAGAAAUGGCAGUCUGCAAGGAUGUUGCCCAGGGGACACCCAGAUAUUUUGAUGUUUUAUUAUCCUUGUGGGAGGCUUCUCUCAUGUCAUGGAGAGCUGGAGCUGCUUUCCCCAGAUGUAACCCAUGCCUUUUGGAAGAAGCAUUCAUGUGUUCUCUAAAAAGAAAUUUAAAAAUUACAUAUGCAAUGCUUACCUGAACCUGUUGUUUUAUUUCACCUGUGCAUUGUUAGUUUUGAAUAAAAGAUUUGCCGUGA